CCUGUUUAUUGGACUGGAGCCCAUUUUUAGAACUCUCCAGGGCUGUCAGAGUUCAUAGUCUAGAUUCAUUCCCAAUAAUACAGGUUUUAAUCCAGUGAUCAAAGACAAUCCUAUUCAGCACAAGCUGCUGUCACCUACCUGAGUGCAAGGUAAAUAAUGGGAGAGAAAUGAUUCCAAAGCAGAGCUAAAUUGACCCAAGUAUCAUUUAACCACAAGCUGAGAAACAGGGAUGCCAAUUCCAUCUCAAAAUUGGUACACACCAGGGUCUGGCAUCAUGGCUAGAGAAUCAUGAACACAUGCAGAGGUUGGAGCAUGGACAAGAAGAACCAUGGAUCAUGGCAGGGGAGUGUGCAUGAGUUGCUUGUUCAUUGUUUGCCAGGGACAUAG
rnacentral:lncRNA from 1 species